rnacentral:rRNA from 1 species
UACGUAGGGUGCGAGCGUUAAUCGGAAUUACUGGGCGUAAAGCGUGCGCAGGCGGUUUUGCAAGACAGAUGUGAAAUCCCCGGGCUCAACCUGGGAACUGCAAUUGUGACUGCAUGGCUAGAGUACGGUAGAGGGGGAUGGAAUUCCGCGUGUAGCAGUGAAAUGCGUAGAUAUGCGGAGGAACACCGAUGGCGAAGGCAAUCCCCUGGACCUGUACUGACGCUCAUGCACGAAAGCGUGGGGAGCAAACAGG